rfam:Felis catus isolate Cinnamon breed Abyssinian chromosome E1, whole genome shotgun sequence.
GCCUGGCUAGCUCAGUCAGUGGAGCAUGGGACUCUAGAUCUCAGGGUUGUAAGUUCGAGCCCCACGGUGGGUA